GGGGACGAUCACACAGGUGACAGAUAUGACAUGACAUGACAGAGCAUUGGCACUGCUCCACCAAGGGCUCUGUAAAUCCCUGGUGACAGGCUUGGGCAAGCAACUCACAAACACCUGGGAACUUGCUACACUUUGAUUGUUUGCAGGUUAGAUAUUAAGAAAAACUUGUUCUCAGAAAGAGUGGUUGGGCACUGACACAGGCUGCCUAGGGAAGCAGUGGAGUCAUUGUCCCUGGAAGUGUUCAAGAACGUUCAGUAUUCUGCCCAUUUAUGUUGGAACAAGUGAGCAAAUUUCACAUUUAUGAAGAUAAUCCUGCAUACUGGGGAGAGAAAACUGAUAGUCAUUCUGCCUAUUGAGAAGGAAUGAUUGAGCACCAAAUGUCAGUAUACCUUGUCUCAGGAGAAAAAAGAAAUGAAAACUGUAGGUAUUGAACAAGUCACAAGUUAUAGAGAUGAUCAAGGAAUCACAGAAUCAUUAAGGUUGGAAAAGACCUCCAAGAUCAUCUAGUCCAAACACCAACCCAUCCCUACCAUGCCAGCUACCCACGUCCCUCAGUGCCACAUCUCAACAUUUCUUGAACACCUCCAAGGACAGUGACUCCACCACCUCCCUGGGCAGCCUGUGCCAAUGCAUCACCACUCUUUCUGAGAAGAAAUUUUUCCUAAUAUCCAAUAUGAACCUACGCUUCUACAACUUGAGGCCAUUAACACUCGUCCUAUUGCUGUUACGUGGGAGAAGAGGCUGAUCCUCCACCUUGCUACAAUCUCUUUACAGGCAGUUGUAGAGAGUGAUAAAGUCUCCCCUGAGCUUCCUCCUCUCCAGACUCAACAAUGGAAUCCUUUGAAAAUGAUGGUGGAUUUUAGCUUCAUGUAGCUAUUAGAUCUCUUACUGUACACAGCUCAGAGGACCUUUACACAGUACAAAGCCAUACAGUGAUACUGAAGAUAAUGGCAGAUGAGCACAGGUAGUGGAAAGCCCAAACCCAAGAGUGUGCUGCUAUGUAAGCACUGACAUACCUUGUGUCUCUGUUUUCUUUCUGGAGUUUGCUAAGUCUGUUCUGAUCAUUGCUGUUCUAGUAAGUAAGGCCAAGAAAACACUUAGCCUGUGACUGAAGAGGAGGCUCAGGGGAGACCUUAUUGCUCCCUAUAACUACUUGAAGGGAGGUUGUAGUGAGCUGGGGGUCGGCCUCUUCUCUCGUGUAACUAGUGACAGGACUAGAGGGAAUGGCUUCAAGCUGCAUCAGGGGAGAUUCAGGCUGGAUUUUAGGAAAUACUACUUCUCUGAAAGAGUGGUCAGGCACUGGAAUGGGCUGCCCAGGGAAGUGGUGGAGUCACCGACCGUGGAGGUGUUCAAGGAACGUUUGGACGCUGUGUUGAGAGACAUGGUUUAGUGAGAACUAUUGGUGAUGGGUGAAUGGUUGGACUGGUCUUUUCCAACCUUGUUGAUUCUAUGAUUCUAUGAUUCAUCCUUUUUCUCAGCCUCUCUGCAGGGCUAAUGAGAAUGUACAUGUACACACAUUGCAUUAUUGGGCUAUGCAGUGUAGAAUUUUUUUUACAUAUUUGAACAAGUUACCUGGUCUGUGGAAGAUGAAUUUCAACCAUUUGAGUUGCUUAAAGAAAGCUAGAUGUCUUUCCAUACUGUAUAUUGGCCAGAAGUCACCUGGAAUUACAGACUUGAUACGGACAUUGCUGCAUGAAACCCUCUGACUUUUUCUACAUUGCAGACAGCAACAAAAUGAACAUGGAAAUCCCUCCUAGCUUUAACAUUCAUAAAUAACUGAACCACUUACCUGUCUGAAAAAGAUGAUGACCAAAACAAAUCUCAGUAUGUAUAGUUAAUUUUUAAGCACUCUGCUACUGAGCUGUAUUAUCACCAGGUUACAUCUUCAGCCUUCGCUGAAGCCAUACGCUUACCUAGCAACACCUCAUCUAUGAAGCUCUGAGCUCUCUGGAGCCUUGGAAGGUGAGAGGAAGUUUCUCUUGCUUUUGCAGUUCUCCACAGCCUAGUCAGAUGGAAGCAGGGGCAUAUGUAGCCAGGCUGGAGACUGAACCUAAGAACAAAGCAGGACAAGAAGCAGUCUGCAAGCAGGAGUUUCCCACUGUGCUAACGUGUUUACUUUGUGGUACUGUAAUUUUCUAGCAGAUGAGCUGAUCCAAUUAAGCCAUUGCUAUUAAAUUAAAAAGCCAUGAUGAUCUGACUGCAUUUGGGAGGCAUAACAGCUAUGAUAUUUGACAUAUGGGGAUAUACACACCUUGGAAAUACAGUGCUUUAUGAUAAGUAGCAGUUAACAGUCAGGAUGCUCUCGUUGUGGGCAGAAGAAAGGCAACACCAAAAACAUCUCAGAUGUACUCAGAGCCGUGACACAAUCUUAAUGUCUUAUAAUGCACUGUGCAACUAUUACUUUGAGAUAAAAAAUGGUUCUAUAUUUCAUCUGUUAUUGAGCUCUUUGCUUUGACAAUGAAGUUCAGCCAUUGAGUGAUUCUACAAAGCUGCUGCACUUCUACAGCCAUCAAACAGAAGGUCAGUGAGAUGAAGACGUCACACUGUCUUUUUCACACUGGCAGAGGUCAAAACAGGACUUCAGGUGCGCUUCAUUUUUAAGAUUGGCUUUAAUUUUAAGUGUUCAGCUUCCCUUAUUCACAACAUGGGAGUUGUUUUAUAUCAGAACUCCUUAAAUCUCUAAUGCAGACACCAGCUGCCAUGUGAGGUACAGGCCAAAAAUUACAAUAAGAACUUAGUUAAUGGAUAAUUAAGAAUGGCACACAUAUUACAGAAAGUUCAAAUUUUCUUGUAAAAUUUUCUCAGUUUCUUUUCUUCUUUCCUCUUCCUUCUCAUCCUAAUGAUAAACUGCUUUGUGAUAAUCUGCUUCUGUUUUAUCACUCUCAGUGAGCAGUUAUGUGUUCUUUUCCUUUUGAUAUGUGGAGUUUUUAACCCUGCUUAGCCAAGCAACAGAGAAAUGUAUUUUGAACCUGAGUGCUUUCUCAUGUUUGCUUAUAAACCCAUUUUAUUUUACUUUAUCUAUUAUUUUUAAUAUCACCUUCUCAAUGUCUCUACACUUUAAUUGGUUCAAUAAAAGAGACUUUAUGGAUGCCAUAGAACAAGAAAGGUCACUUCUAAUAUACAUGAAGAGUACUACAAGUCUAAAUAAUAAAUGUUUUUACCCAUUUUUCCAGUUAGGAUCAAAGAAACCCUCCUUUCAGUUUCUUUCUACUUUCAACGGCAGUUUCAUAUUAUUUCUGCCUUCUAUCUAUUUUAUCAAAUGAUCAUUACAGCUGUCACAGGUGGUACUGCACUAAUCACGAUUAUUCAAAUGAGAGGAAAAAUAUUUUUGGUCUAAUAAGAAAACAAACAAACAAACAAAAGUAAAUAAUAUGAGAAGCAAUCCUGAUUCCCUUCCCAAAGAAAGCUUUACCUGCACUGCAUAAGCAAUGAGGCAGGUCAUUGUGUGCUUUCUUUAAUAUUUUUCUUAGGGAGGAUUUUCUGCCCAAAUGCUUAUUUCAUUUGAUAAAUAAAGUAGUGAAAAUUGGUUCUUGCUUUAAAAGGGAAGCUAUUUCUCUGAGACUGUUGCUCUCCUCUUGCUGGAGAGGGGCUCAGUAGACAUGAGGGUCAAUUAAUGGUAGAGGUAGAAGAGAAGCAGAAAUGCUGGUGAUUUACCUUGCCUUUUACUCAGGACCUUGCAGAAGAAGUUCCUCAAUGUUUUGAACUUGCCAUCUGAACCAUCUGAAGAAACAGAUUGGUACACACAGAGGUACCUAAAAAAACCCACGUGAUUUUACAUACAAGCAUGAAAACAUAGGAAACAGCACCAAGAGAAACUGCUGAGGACCAUGGAUGGGAUGCUGCAGCACAACAUCACAGUGGGGAUCUCAUCCUGCAUUUCUUUCUGGCCAGUACAUAUAUUUUGUUCUUGUCAACAUUGCUACAUUAAUUAAUUUCUUCUUCACACACUGUACCAUCUCCAAGGAUCUAUUUGUUAAAUGUAUAUGCAUUAAAUUUCAUUUCAGACUCUCUUUCAUCAGUGUGAAGUGGAAGUGAAGACAGCCAAAGUCUUGGGUCUCAUCUUGCUGCUCUCAGAUCCUUGGCCAAUGGCACUCUGGAUAGUUCCAUCUACAGCAAAUCUUACGGUGCAACACCCGCAGUUCAUGCACUGGUGUAGAACUUCCCAGUAUCUUUGAACCUCUGGGUGAGGCCAGUGGCAUCUGAAUGAGAAAUGGAAGCCUCAGAAUGACAUGGGUAUGGAAGACUCAGUUUGCAGAGUUAAGGUCACACAGUGUGUGAUUUCUCUUUUCCAAAUUCCUUAAUGUCAAUGUAUGAUAAAAUACACUUUUAGUUAAUAACCAUAGUUCAUAAAAAUUAACAUGCGACUCCUGCCACCCAUACUGGAAGCAGACUGAACAGGAAUCACAGCAUCCACCAAAUUCUGUUUGUUCAAUAAAACCAACGGCAAAAAAGAGCAAGGGAGGAGUAUGUUGACAAAAUGUGCAGUACACUAUAAAGUAUUUGACACUUCCUCAGACAUGCCAAAGGCAACUGGGCUCUGGAGUAUUUGGAAAGAAGGAGAAUGAAGCACUUUACUGUGUUAAUGCUAGGAGUUAUUGUCUAGACCACUACUGACUAAGGAAGAUGGUGGUAUCUAUUAAAGAUCUUUUUUUUUUUUUUUUUUUUUUUAAUGGCAAAACUUUUCCAAAAUCUCCAAAAGACCAUGGAAACCCCGGGGAAAAAACAGAUGGCUGGAAAAAAAACUAAAUUAAUGAUGAUAUUUACAAAUCAAGGAUAACAUAGAGGACACAGAAAAUGGUUAAUAUGCCAUCAGUAUAAGGCGAAACUGAAGAAUCUGGAUAACUAUUAUCCAUGAAAAGGAAUAAAAGAUACACAAUGAAAUGUAUAAAUGCAAAACAAUAUGGGCUUAUGGCAAAGUGAAACAAACCUAAUAUUAAAAAAUAAAUAAAUUUUUUGGUUGAUCAAGAUAGAUGGAAAGAUUUCUUUAAAACAUUUAGCUUCAUUCUGCAUUUAACCCUUAUUUAUAAAACUGUUUCUUAAAAUACCAUUGUUGAAUAUGUAAAAUGGGCUUAAGCACUGGCUAAAUAAUAGUCUCAAUGAAUAAAUGUGCAAUACUAAAUAACAAAUUUUGCUGAAUGGGAUUCUUCUAUGGAUUUAGGGGUCUGAAAGUCCAGAUUCCAAAACUGUUUUCACAACACACCAAAAAGUGCAGCCUAGGGAUAUGUGCACUGGAGAACACUGAUGAAAAAUGAGGAAGAGAUUUAACUUCCACAUGUUAGAAUGAGAUAAAUGCUAGAAUAACUCUCUUUGUUCUGGCACAUUCACUUUUAAAAAGUUGUUGAGAAAUUUGAGACAAUAUCACAGAGACACAAAAAUGAUGAGAGGACAUGGAGCAAAUGCUUCACAGGCAAAAGCUCACAAACCUCAGUCUGUUCAUUUUAUCAGAGAGAAGACUGAAAACUGACUUGGAGACAGUGUAUAAAUACUUGGAUGAAAAACAAAACAAAACAAAAAGUUCUCUAAAGAGCUCCUCUAGAAUCAAUGCCUGGAAGCAGAAAGCAGAGAAAUUAAUCCGAAAAAAUAAUGUACAUAUUUUUAAUAGUGAUUUUCACUUAAGCAGAUUAUCCACAGGAUUUUUUUCUUCCAUUCCUUAGGAUGUUCAUCAGGAUUUGGUGCCUCUGUAAAAAACCGUGCUUUUGUCAGAAGCAAAUCUUCAGGCUCCAGGUAGAAGUGAUCUAUAAUUGGCCAGUGAUAAAAAAAGCAGACAAUCUAAUGGCCUUGAAUUUAAUGAAGAUCCGGAUGACUUUAGGAGAAUUCCUGUGCCUAUAGUACUCAAAUAUGUAUAUGUUAAUAAGCCACAAAAGAGUAUAGAAGGGAUGCAUACAACUCAUACAGGAAAUGAAAUGCUCUGAACUCUCAAGAGGAUGUUUAUGUAGAAGCAGCAAGAAGCAUCAACCUCUCUUUCCACAGUUUUAUAAAAACCAACCAUUCAAAAAGAUGAAAAAUCAACAUCCUCUGUUGCUGCCACUAGGUCAGUGUUAUACCCAUAGCACAGCAGGUGUUCACCUGUCAGUCAGCUGAAAAGACUGUUCAAGUGUUCAAGAAAUGUUUGGUUGUUGUAAUAAGGAACAUGGUUUAGUGGGGAAUUACUGGUGGUAGGUGGACAGUUGGGCUGGAUGAUCUUGGAGGUCUUUUCUAACUUUGGCGAUUCUAUAAUUCUGUGACUUGUAGGCAUGCAAGUAGGCUGCCUCUUAGAAGACUAUGGAACGUCACUGAGGUGGCCAAUGCCAAAUGCACAUGGAGAUGCAGUGGGACAAACGAUGAAGAAAGAUGAUUAGAUGAAGAGGAAAAUGUCUUUGGAGUUAUGAAAUGACUGAUUAACAUGAAAACCUUGUGGCUAGUUUACAAGGAUAUUGGAUUUAGCAGGAGAAUUACUGAAAAUCAAACAAACUCGUAUUUAUGUAAAGACACACAUCAGAGUGACUGAAAGAACAUUUAUUUGAAAAAAAAUUGAUUUCAUUUCCAUCUUUCACCAGGAAACUAUUCUUUAUGAAGAAAGAAAAAUGUGAGUCCUUUGCAAAAUAUGAGAUCCAUUCAAUAUCCACUCCCUCCUUGAAAGUCUUGUCACACUUUUUUGCUAUUAAUCAAUGAUCUGUAAGAUGGCCAGGCUUUAAUCGAAGGAAAUGUUAUUAUUCUGCAGGUAAAAGCGUUUGCAACAUGCCAAAGGGUGUUUCUUUAAACUUUAAUGGAUAAAGCCUAGAGAGCAAGUUUCAUUAGUCUGUAGAGAAAAAACAUUUAUUUAUCAUAAUGUGUGAAGCCACGAGUUUUCUGCAUUUGCUUAUGAUCCUGACAAUUUUCAGAUAAAAUUAUAGGAAUAAUCAUGAAAAAGCCCCUGAAGCCUUAGAAUAUUUCCUGUGAGGAAAGAAGAGAUUGUUUCUGUCUGAUAAUUUAAUAAAUAAAUAAAUAAAUAAAUAGGAACAAAACCUAGCAUUUAAAUUCAAGCUAAAUAAAAAUCUUAAAAGGUUUUGUCUUUUCUGUGAGUACAAGGAACACAGGGAGUUCACUAGGAGACAUUUACCUUCUUGUUCUUGAGCUUAGGGGUCUGAACAGUUAUGCCCCCAAAGCGGCAGCUUCCUGUAAUAUUGACCGAACCACCUGAGGCUCCCAGCUCUGGGAAGCCAGGCUGGAUAUUUUGGAAGAAAGAUCUUUCCCCAGAGAUUUCAGGUACUUUCACUCUAGAUUUCAGCUAUAUCACUGACAAUUUUAUUUGUGCAGUUCUUGUGACGGUCCCAGUUGCUGAGUGCAAGUGAAACCCUUACCUCCCAGAUUAUGAAUUCUAUAAAAAGUCUUCUUAUAUUUCAAGAGUGGACAAAGGUUUACAGAGAGCACUCAGAUUAGAAGGAAGUAUGUACUGUGCUAGAAUGUUAGAAUACAGUAUGAUGAAUCCUGGUUCCUAUUUAAGGAAUUAAAAAUAGUGAUGCCUAAAAAAUAAACAAUGCUCUG
ensembl:lncRNA